GACGAACGCUGGCGGCGUGCCUAAUACAUGCAAGUCGAACGCUGAAGAGAGGAGCUUGCUCUUCUUGGGUGAGUUGCGCACGGGUGAGUAACGCGUAGGUCACCUGCCUUGUAGCGGGGGAAAACUAUUGGACACGAUAGAUAAUACCGCAUAACAACGGAUGACACAUGUCAUUUAUUUGAGUUGGGCAAUUGCUCCACUACAAGAUGGACCUUCGUUGUAUUAGCUAGUAGGUGAGGUAAUGGCUCACCUAGGCGACGCUACAUAGCCGACCUGAGAGGGUGGGCGGCCAGCCUGGGACGGAGACACGGCACAGACGGCUACGGGAGGCAGCAGUAGGGAUACGUCGGCAAUGGGUGGGAAACUGACCGAGAAGCGCCGAGGGAGGGAGGAAGGAUGUCGGGUCGUAAAGCUCGGUUGUAAGUUAAGAACGGGUGUGAGACUGGAAAGUUGAGAGUGUGACGGUAGCUGAUCAAAAAGCAACGGCUAACUACGUG
rnacentral:rRNA from 1 species